rnacentral:tRNA from 1 species
GGGAACUUGGCUCAGUGGUAGAGUGCUUGCCUCACAUGCAUGGGGGCCUGAGUUCGAUUCCUCAGUACCA